AUGAGGAAGAAGCUAGUGGAAAUGGGAAAAGAGCGACCCUUUUCCCGCUGUCCACAAGGCGAUCAUUGGAAUCCGUUGCAACUUGAGCGUGGCUGUCGUUGCAUGUGUGGGUGUGGAGGUAGCGGCAGCCCGGCCCCCACUUCCUACAAGGGGUAUAUGCCCCCGUCCAAAUGGCUCUUCCCAAUGCAGUCACAUCAGCUUUUUAUACGUGUAACAGAAAAAUCAAAUAAACAUCCAGUAGAAGCAGAGCAAGAGCAGAGCCUAGCUAGCACAACCACCCUCCUGUUGAGACGCUCUAUCUUGCUCACGAUGGACAAGGUGAAGAGCCAUGGCAGCAAGCACAAGGGAUCAGGAGGAGUAGGAGGGGGGCUGAGCAAGAUGCUGAGGCAACACAAGGCCAGGCUCUACAUCAUCCGCCGAUGCGUCGUCAUGCUCCUCUCCUCUUGA
rnacentral:rRNA from 1 species